GCUGACCUGCUGGGAGUGUUCUCUGAUGAGGCAAAGGGAUCCUAGCUCUUCUGCCCUGUCCAUUACACAGGGUCUGUUAAACAUGCGAAUUACAUCUUUCCGUUUUAGGUACACAUUGUUUGGUACAGUCAGAGGGGAUGAGGCUCAGUUGUGUUUGGGCAGGUGUUUUCACAGCUCCAAAGGGACAACAUCAGCACACACUCAGUGGUGCAAACUAUUUUAAAAACUCCAGCUCUCUCAGACCCUUGGUGGCUGCUGUAACUGCUUCAGACCUGUGUCUUCCAGAUGUUGGAGUAUGCCUAGUCUGUCCUUGCCUCCAUAGGCGGCUGGCUACCUGUCUGGAAGCCAGCAGAUGACCUCUGAGUGGACACAGAGUGGCAGGCUUGGUGACCCUCCAAGUGGAACAGAUAUAGGGCCCUUCUCAGCGUCAGGCAUCGGAGGUAGCUUUCUUGACCUUCACAAUGCUCUUCUGAAAUGCUAGCUUCCUCCUUCCGGGCUUGAGCUAACGGAAGAAUCUUGUCUGGUUUGGACACAGAAGUAUGGCACCCGUGUCAGGAGGCCUGAUUUUAAACACCCCCUUAUGAGGUAACCUCUGCCUAGUCACUCUCACUAGCGCCCUGCCCUUUGCAGGCUCUUCUGGGCUCACCCUCCUGCUGUCCUGGUUCUGUUAGGAUUCUGCCAGCUUCCUAACCACUAUCUUCCUCUUCACCAGUCUCCUACAGUGGGAACCAGUCCUUGGGCAGUUUAAUGACUAGGCCGUGAGCAAAAGUCUAUAGUUUCCCGUACACGUGAAUUUCCCCAACACACACACACACACACACACACACACACACACACACACACACACACACACACGAGAGUCUGUUCCCAUCCUUUUGGACUAGCCUCAUAAUUCUUCACCUCAACUUGAAAAGUUCGAACUUGUUACAUUUUUAUACUGCAGUUGAAUGCUUCUCUUUCUCUCCUCUGCAUCUAUUUCUUCCUGGGGCCAGUUCUGUGUCACUGCUUGGCUAGUUUCCAAAUGCUUUGCUGUAUUCGUUUUCUCUAGACAGUGAGUGACAGUGGCCCCCACUUUCUCUAACCUAGACUGAACCCCUCCACUCCUGGCCCUACCCCUAGAGCUUUCAAACAUGUCUUGAUGAACUAAUCCUUCCACCUUCCCUGCCAAGUCCUGGUCUGUUCGGACUGAACCAAUUCAUAGGGAACCUAGUGGUGAAGCUGUUUUCCUUGUGGUUUGCUCCAGGCCUAGGUCACACAUAGUGGGAAGGACUCUAAGGCAAGACUCCUUCUCACAAAAACCACCUGCCAAGGCAGGUGAGCCCUGCAGACACAGAUGGCCUCCUCCAAUAUCUAGAGAUGCCUCUCCUCUUUCUUAAUCAGUUUUCCCUGCCUGUAGGUUGGGGUGAAGGAAAGGGGAAUCUGUAGUACUUUUUGAAGUCUUUUCUACUCAUCAGAAAAAUCCAGCAGAGCAAACAUCUGCAUGGCGGGGGAGAAGUUAACUCUCAUCCUACCAGGACCUCAUCCCAAGGAAAACUACUAACAUGUUAGAGAAGAAAUACAGCAGCCUUAAACUCAAACGCUGAUAGAACGUAGUCUAUGACCAGGACUAUGGAAUAGACACCUGAGCACAAAACAAAGUGGAUCCAAAGCUCACACGACAGCUGUUUCAGAGACAGGGUAAGGAGCCUCAGGGUCGCCGGGGGCUGCGAUGGUUGAGAGAAAGGCAGGUGGUAGGGUUGAUGGGUGGGGUCAUGAGCAAGAAGCUCUAGUCCUCAUAUGGCAGGUCACCCCACAAGGGCAGCAGCUGCCUCUCUCGGGCCUCGCCCGGUGUCAGACAAAGUAUAUUCACUGAGCUGCUCUCUGCCAGGGGAGAGUGGAGAACAGGUUCAGAGUUGGAACACUGUUUGCUUUCAGAUGUUCCAAACAACAGAAAAGCCCAUGUUCCCCAGUUGUGCGACGAACGUUAAAAUGAAUCACCACUGUGCCUGUAUCAUACCGCCAUCAUUUUUCAGACUAGGAAUGUACAAGGGGGCGGGGCGGAAGAAAAGGCUACUCAGCUGUGCUCUUCUUGGGAGCCAUAACCGAGGUCUUCACCUCCCUCGCUUCUGCAGGAGGCCUCUCAGUCUUAGCUUUUGGUGACAUAGGUUAGACUUGGCCCUCGAAAGUACAGUUGGAAGGCUCCCCUUUAAAUAUUUAUGGACAUGAAUGAAAUAGCACAUGCUGUGUGAGGUAAAGAGGGGGGAGGGGAAAAAGAAAACCAGGUCAUAUGCUCCAACUCUUGAGAGGAUAAAAGAUGCCAGGGCAAAAAUACGAAAGCUCCGAAGGUCGUUUGCAGAGAGAGCUGAUCACUCACUGCUCAGGCCCUGAGGCCUCAUGUCUCCCUCCUAGCACUUUAUUCUCUGUUGUCUCAGGCAGCGAAGUAUUUGGUGUCUCUUCCCCACUUCCCCUGCCCACCACCACGACCACCACCUCGGCAGGCCAAGUCGGUUCCUUGGGCCUGCCCAUCGGAAUGGUGCCCCCUGACACAAGUGAGCAUUCCACAAGGUUUUCAGUGAUGGGGGUGAGGAGGAUGAAGGCACAGCAUCAGAGGGAAAAGAAGCCCAAACACCACUGAGAUUAACUGUUUUGCCUUCUUUAUAUGCUAUGUAUUCAUUGUCCAAAAUUUGGUCAAAAAGAUUACUUUUUUUUCAGGACCUUUUGACCAAAAGUCAGCAGACUUUGGUAAACCAACCUCAAAUGUUUCCUCCUAACUUCAAGCUGACUUCCAUGUCACUAAUCCAGAGAACACCAGGACUCGUUGGUGUCUGCAAUAGUGGUCACUACACAACUUCCAGCACUACGCUGGGACACACUGCCUUAUACGUCUUUAAAUGCUCAUUUAAAAAUAAUGAGGCUGAGUGUUCGAAAUGCCGGUGCCUCUCAAGUCCAAGCAGGGUUCCCACAUCCACUUCCCUCCCUUCUGUGGGAAGAAGAUGGCAGAGCUGGUGUCAUGGGCUGCUUUCCCCCACAAAAGCAGUAUUCUGAGAGUGCCUACAAUAAGGAAAACAGUGACAUGUGCAAGAGAAAGACACUUGACCUGUGCAAUGUUCCUUCCAACCCAGCUUUGCUCCUCCGGGGCUGAGCCCACUCUGCUGCCUCUAGAAGCAGGACAUAAACUGCAGAAUCCUCUCUACCUCCAGCUCCCGGCUUACCCUUUGUCCAGGGCCACCACCCUCCCAAGCAACACUCACUACCAAUUUCAAACUCUUGCUUCACAGAAAGAGAACUGCCUCUGAAGAACACGCCCCUGACCCUUACUUACCCAGUACUCCCUGCACCUCUGAAAUCACUCCACGGACCUGCUCCAGAUAACUACCCACCCCGCUGCACGUCUGGAUCCUGGCCUUGGACAGAAUCUGGUGCUGGGUAGGGACACAAAACUGUGCAGAGCACCCAGGCCUCCAAAAGCAGGCAUCCUAACUCUGCCAGUUGGAGACCUGGGUAAACUCAUUACCAAAGCCCAGGUUUCCUCACUUGAAAGUAGAAAUGAUAAUACAGUCACUAUUUUAUACUGGCUGCCAUACACAAUGACACGACUGAAUGCCUGGUAGUGUCAAGAAGUACAAUGAAAGUCAUUAACUCGUCCAGUUCACAAUACCCAGGCAAGACAAACUCUGACUCUGUUAUGUUACAGACAAGGAGGGGGCUCACAGAGGUCAAGAGAUGCAUCUAAGGCCACACAAGGUGGCAGGCCGUAGCGUCUGUAAGGUCCUACCCAGGGAAACUGGCUUUGCAGUCCCUGGCUCAGCUUACUGUGCAAAAUGAGUCUCUCUAUAACCCAUGUGAAAUGCUUCCUGCGUUGCCUAAAACACAGUAGAAGCUCAAUAAAUAGAGGCUAGCAUAUGCCAGGAUACAGGUGCCUGAGUAAAGCAGACGCCCGUCGUGACGGGGCUCUUGUAUGGAGCUCCCGCCCCUCCCAACUCCAGUACCUGUUGUUGUAAAAAAUAAUAAAAAUAAAAAAAUAAAAAUGAAACGGUAAAUGUUUUUCUCUGGGUGUUUUACCCUGCUUGGGUUCCACACCUCAGUGCCCCAGAUAUCUGCUGGAUAUCUUGGCGGAAACACAGCCCAGCCACACACUUUCUUACACUGAGACUCUUACAUAUAAAAACAGACCACACAAUAAUCUUAGAUCCAAUUGGUAAGAUAUAAUUGCCCACUUAAACAUACAAAGCCCGGUACCAUCUAUCCCUUGCACCUUUUAUUUACCAAGUCUCCAGCUUCUCCUUCUCCCACAAUGACUCCUUGCUUCUCCUCUCUCUCUCUCUCUUUUUUUACUCACUCUCCCAAAUAUAUCAACUCUUUUAUGCUUUAGUUUCUCCUUCUCUUAAUCUUCCCUUAAAUCUAGUGAAUGCACUGUCCACCUGGAUAGCCCAGCAGGCCACCGCCCUGUGCCCACAGGUCCGUGAACACCUGUAGGACACGUAACGGAGCCCACCUCAAUUGUUAACCGCCCCACACCCUCACAACAUGGGCCGGUCACUCCUCCCUGCCUUGUGAGAGCUGAGGAUUUCAGCUGAGUAUCUCAGCAAAGUAUUGGGUAGAUGGACAGUCCAGAGGGAGCCUUAAUUCCCAGCAAUAUUCCAUGCCCCGGCUCAGCUUCCAAAGGAAAAGGAGAUUAUUCCGUUUCAUUAGCUGCUUUAUGCAGUGCUUGUGCAGGCUGGCUGUUCUUCACUUUGUUUCCACAACAUUUCCAGUAAUCAUGUCCCAUGCACGGUGAUUCCGGCUAAAGAAAUUCCGGGGGUGGGGGGACUUGGGUGCUUCCUGAGGCCUUGAGGGGAUGAGGAGGGAGAAGCAGCUCAGAUAAUGGCAUAGACGUCAAGGCAGGCAGAAUCCGUAACACCCCAAGCUCUUGUAACUUGGAAAAAUGGGCAUUGUGGAGGAAAGCACGCGGUUUUGAAGCAGCAGCAAUCCCAACACUCAUCCACACACCCUCAAUAGGGGAAAAAAGAAGACACGGACCAGUCCCACAAACCAGACUCCCCUGGGCCAAAGGCUAGGGUCACGUCCCAAGCACCACGUGGCUUAUUACUUGAAACUCGACACAAUAGGUUUGCAUCUUGGUGAGUGCAAAGCCAAAAUAAGCACAGCCAAGACCUAGAAAAGUGGAGGGAAAAAAUGCAUCGCCUGCAGCGGGCAAUACACA
ensembl:lncRNA